GGUAAAAUGAGUGAUAAAAGCAUUAGACUCUAACUCUAAGAAUAGAGGGUUAAGUCCUCUUUUUGCCU
rnacentral:tRNA from 1 species